GCAGGAACAGUUUGAAAGUUGGACAACUUUGCAAGUUUUAACGAUGCAUGCAUCACAUUCUACUCGAUACGAACGGAGCGAUAAAGUGUUAUCGAAAUGAGAUUGUUAAGAUAGAUGGGAAAGCAAUGAAGCUAUCAAAGGUGAUGAAUCUCGAUGAGAAAAGUUGCAAGGGAAAAUCCAUAAUCUUUCGACACCGUGAUGAAUUGGACUAACUUCUGUCGAAUGAAAGUUAAUUGCUCCAUCGUUUCUUCGAUACCUCUCCACCGAUUUCAACGAACACGAUACAACGAAGCUAGCGACGCUGGCAGACGGACAGCGAAGAAAACGGAGCCUACGUGGAAAUCUUCGGGACGCCAAGUGAAUUAUUGUCAGUCUAGCCAAGAGAAGAAUAGCGUCGUGGAUCCUUGACACUUUGACAGUCGUCGGGACGCAAGGUAGACGCGCAGGGAAGGAGAAGGGUGGAGCAAAGAGUGGAAAACCGCGACCAUCCCUUUACUCUCGCCUUCCUCCUCCUCGUCUAUACUCGUCAUUGACAGCUGUCAGCCGUCAGCGUUGGAAAGUUUUACGAGGACGAAAGUUGAUAUUGCUGCGCUUGCAGCUUUGCCCCUUCUCACCCUUUCACACCCCCUCACUCGAACGUCCUCUCCUCUUCCAUCGAACUCGUCGAUUUCUCUCGCUCUCUUUCUGUUUUUUUUUUUAAAUAUUUUUUUAUCCCUUUGUGUGCCCUUUCUUUCCGCCACUUUUUGCCCAUACUAUAUUCCGUACGCUUUGCUGCUCUCCUCUCUCUGUUCUCACUUAAUCCAUUUUUUUUUUCAGUUCUCUAUCUAUUUCGAUGUUCUUUUGUGUUCCGAUUAUUUCUCAAUUUUCUAUUGUUUCGUUAGCUGUCCCUUUAUCAAUUGUUCUUUUCCACGCUGUACAAUCGUGUUUCCCGAGAUCGACGUUGUCAUCGCGUGGAUCUAUCCUUUCCUGGUUAUCCUAGUUUUCGUUCCUCUGUGUUUCUACGCUUUUCACAGACAAUGAUAGUUGGAAUUUAAUUUCAGCUUCUACCAGAUUUUCAUUU